AAGUCGUGCAUUGGGCAUUUACGUAGUAAGCCUUGAAAUAUUCCCAUGCCUCAUAUAAAUUUUCAUCUUCUAAUUGCUUAAAAGAGUUUAGGUCAUUUCGCAGCUU